rnacentral:rRNA from 1 species
AACGAACGCUGGCGGCAGGCUUAACACAUGCAAGUCGAGCGCAUCCUUCGGGGUGAGCGGCAGACGGGUGAGUAACGCGUGGGAAUCUACCUUUUGCUACGGAAUAGCUCCGGGAAACUGGAAUUAAUACCGUAUGUGCCCUUAGGGGGAAAGAUUUAUCGGCAAGAGAUGAGCCCGCGUUGGAUUAGCUAGUUGGUGGGGUAAAGGCCUACCAAGGCGACGAUCCAUAGCUGGUCUGAGAGGAUGAUCAGCCACAUUGGGACUGAGACACGGCCCAAACUCCUACGGGAGGCAGCAGUGGGGAAUAUUGGACGAUGGGCGCAAGCCUGAUCCAGCCAUGCCGCGUGAGUGAUGAAGGCCUUAGGGUUGUAAAGCUCUUUCACCGGAGAAGAUAAUGACGGUAUCCGGAGAAGAAGCCCCGGCUAACUUCGUG